rnacentral:rRNA from 1 species
AAAACAAUCCUACGGGAGGCAGCAGUGGGGAAUAUUGGACAAUGGGCGCAAGCCUGAUCCAGCCAUGCCGCGUGUGUGAUGAAGGCCUUAGGGUUGUAAAGCACUUUCGCCGAUGAAGAUAAUGACGGUAGUCGGAGAAGAAGCCCCGGCUAACUUCGUGCCAGCAGCCGCGGUAAUACGAAGGGGGCUAGCGUUGUUCGGAAUUACUGGGCGUAAAGCGUACGUAGGCGGAUGAUUAAGUCAGGGGUGAAAUCCCGGGGCUCAACCUCGGAACUGCCUUUGAUACUGGUCGUCUUGAGUCCGGGAGAGGUGAGUGGAACUCCUAGUGUAGAGGUGAAAU